GGCUCAGGAUGAACGCUAGCUACAGGCUUAACACAUGCAAGUCGAGGGGCAGCAUUGGGAUAGCUUGCUAUUCAGAUGGCGACCGGCGCACGGGUGAGUAACGCGUAUCCAACCUUCCUGCCAGUAGGGAACAGCCCGGCGAAAGUCGGAUUAAUGCCCUAUGUUCUUCAAUGCGGACAUCUAAGUUGAAGGAGAGAUUCAUCGCUGGCAGAUGGGGAUGCGUCCGAUUAGCUUGCCGGCGGGGUAACGGCCCACCGGGGCGACGAUCGGUAGGGGUUCUGAGAGGAAGGUCCCCCACACUGGUACUGAGACACGGACCAGACUCCUACGGGAGGCAGCAGUGAGGAAUAUUGGUCAAUGGGCGUAAGCCUGAACCAGCCAAGUAGCGUGCAGGAAUGACGGCCCUACGGGUUGUAAACUGCUUUUAUGCGGGGAUAAAGUGCGGCACGUGUGCCGCUUUGCAGGUACCGCAUGAAUAAGGACCGGCUAAUUCCGUGCCAGCAGCCGC
rnacentral:rRNA from 1 species